ACGCAGUAGCCCUGCCUUUACCGAGACCCGCCCAAAAGGGCGGGACCAGAACGCGUCCCGCCAGGGAAAACAGCCGUCGGUCUUUGCCCUGAACGCUGCACCCCUGAGACUCCCACUUGACUUGGAAACAGUCCCAGGACUGGGACCACGAAGCAAGUCGAAGGCAGUCGCCAAGAGCCGAGUACGCCCAGAGUCGCUCCGGACCGGCCGGAAGCGGAACCGAGCAGAGCCGGAAGGAGCUAAGCCCACCUGAAGGUUGCUGAGCACCGGCCAGCGUUGAGCCCAACGGAACCCACGUCAUGGCGGCGGACGCGACAGGUGUAGCCGGAGGAGGCGCUGUCGGCGGCUACCUGACCAAAGACAGUUUGCAGGAUGCUAAGUGCCCAGCGGCCAUCCCCCAUCGGCGGCGCGCUUCAUCGCUGUCUCGUGACGCGCAGCGCCGAGCCUAUCAGUGGUGCCGGGAGUACCUGGGCGGGGCCUGGCGCCGAGCCCGGCCGGAGGAGCUGAGCGUUUGCCCCGUGAGCGGAGGCCUUAGCAACCUGCUCUUCCGAUGCUCGCUACCGAACCACCUGCCCAGUGUGGGCGAGGAGCCCCGCGAGGUGCUACUACGACUGUAUGGGGCCAUCCUGCAGGGUGUAGACUCGUUGGUAUUAGAGAGUGUGAUGUUCGCCAUUCUUGCAGAGAGGUCACUAGGGCCCCAACUUUAUGGAGUGUUUCCAGAGGGCCGCCUGGAACAGUACCUCCCAAGCCGACCAUUGAAAACUCGAGAGCUCCGGGACCCAGUGUUGUCAGGAGCCAUUGCAACCAAGAUGGCCCGUUUCCAUGGUAUGGAGAUGCCCUUCACUAAGGAGCCCCACUGGUUGUUCGGGACCAUGGAGCGGUACCUCAAGCAGAUCCAGGACCUGCCUUCCACUGGCCUCCCCCAGAUGAACCUGCUGGAGACGUACAGCCUGAAGGAUGAGAUGGGCAACCUCAGGAAGUUGCUAGAUGCCACCCCAUCACCAGUGGUCUUCUGCCACAAUGACAUCCAGGAAGGGAACAUCCUGCUGCUCUCAGAGCCAGAAAAUGAUGACAGCCUCAUGUUGGUUGACUUUGAGUACAGUAGUUAUAACUACAGGGGCUUUGACAUUGGGAAUCAUUUUUGUGAGUGGGUUUAUGAUUAUACCCACGAGGAAUGGCCUUUCUACAAAGCAAGGCCCACAGACUACCCCACUAGAGGACAGCAGCUCCAUUUUAUUCGCCAUUAUCUGGCAGAGGUCCAGAAAGGUCAGGUCCGCUCUGAAGAGGAGCAGAAGAAACUGGAAGAAGAUUUGCUGAUAGAAGUCAAUCGGUAUGCGCUGGCAUCUCAUUUUUUCUGGGGUCUGUGGUCCAUCCUCCAAGCAUCUAUGUCCACCAUAGAGUUUGGCUACUUGGAAUAUGCCCAGUCUCGCUUCCAGUUCUACUUCCAGCAGAAGGAGCAGCUGAACAGUUUCCACCCGUCAUCUUGACAACCCAACCCCACCUCGGAUUCCUCCUGCAGCCUCCAGGGCAGGACCUUGGAGAGAGGGGCAAAGAAGAAGAGACCCCAGAGACUGGGCUGUGCCUCUUAAGUGCUGACUAAACCCCGGGAUGGCGGAAGCACACCAGGCAGUAGCUUUCCAGUUCACUGUGACCCCAGAUGGGGUCGACUUCCGGCUUAGUCGGGAGGCUCUGAGACACAUCUAUCAGUCUGGAAUCAACUCC